AUUGAUACAUGAAGACAUUUUGAACAAAAAAACAUCCAAUACAAACCCAAUCGACCCUGUGAAUUGGAGAAGUUGAUUGAAAUUUCCGGGGUUGCGUCAAGAAACCAGUUGAUUGUGUUUGUGAUUGUUGAGUUUGUGAUUGGAGAGCGUGGGAAGCUCCCCGUUCCCUUGGAGAAUCAAAACGUACUGUCGUUUUAUGGACAACGAAACUAUGACGCUUGGAGAACGAAGCAAUGGCAAUUGGAAUCAUAUACAAAUUAAUACAACUACGUUAAAAGCGACUUCGCAAUGAACAGCAGAUUGCAAUUGAUUUUGCAAUAACUUCACUGUCCUCUACCCGUUUGCUUUUGUCUCCUCUUGUGGGUUUUUUUGGUUUUUUAAAUGACGCGUUUUCCGCUUUCGCGAUUUAGCCCUGCUUCCUACACAUCCUUGCCCGUCGUGAGUGCUCAAAACGACGUCGUGUACUUUGCUCCUGUCUCAUUAAGCACUGUGUUCUUCCUAUUUUAUCCCACUUUUCUCCUUGCUGCUUUAGAUCUUUCAGUGAUUUACAUGGAUUCGGUGAGAUUUGCCUUUGGGUCUUUCAGAGAUUUACAUGAAUUCGAUGAUAUUUGUGUGGAUGAGGAUUAUCAAUUGGGUGAGAAGCAACUUGCGCAGAAGGGUGGGUUGCAUUUUCCCGCCGUGAGGAUCGCCAGGUUUCUCAAGGCUGGAAAGUAUGCCAAGCAAUUGGGUGCUAGAGCUCCUGUGUGUCUUUCUGCUGUCCUCGAGUACCUGGCUGCUGAGGUAAAUUUUGGAGAUUUUGGAUUCAAUUGGAUUUAUGGUAUCAUGGUUCGUUGGGAUUUGUUUCUUCGUCUCUUUGGUUAAAUUAGGUCUUUUUUUUUGCUGAUUUUAUUAAUUAUCUCAAGUUUUCUUCCCUAAUUUAAUGGUUUUGUUUCAAGGGUAGUGAUUUGGAUUAAUUGGUGCAUUAUUGGUUGAAGGGUUUACUAUGAUCGAUUAGUUUUGUAUUGCUCAUAAAAAUUAGUCCUUCGUUUUUAGGAGAUUAAUAUGGUUUCCGUUGAUCAUUUGAUUGAUUAGCUGUUUAUUAAGAUGCCGCUGGGUUUAUUACUAGUUUUGUGUUGGUUUGCUAAUGGGUGAUUGGUUUUAGGUAUUGGAGCUUGCUGGGAAUG
rnacentral:misc_RNA from 1 species